AUCCGGAAGCACCGCGGGCGCGCAUCUGGCGGCGGCUGGGCCGCUGGUUCCCGGCUGGGGUCCAGUAUGUCUGCUCAUCGGAAGCACGUGUUUACUGAAAAAGUGCUGAAGAGACUUUUUCCUGAUGUUUCAAGUGGCCGAGAUAAGGGGGCACCUCAGCCUGCUGCUUUGGAGACACCACCUGAGAAUGCGACUCCGGAGGCCGUACAGCACACACAUGUUCACAGGCUGGCAGACGGUGACAUUAAGAUCCAGCCUGAACGUCGGCUGUACACUGUGAGCUUGCCUCCUCCAGGGUAUGUUCCUAGCCCGCCAGAACCUGCCAGCUGUGCGAACUCCGAAAAUGCUUCCAGUGGCGGCGACACAGAAGGAGAGCCAGAUCUUCAGGAUCAACCAAAAAGGAAAAGAAUUAGAAGGCGCAAAUCCAAGAAAAAUAUUCAAAACCUCAAUGAUGUUGUUCUAAAGCAAACAGAAGUAGAGACACAGCCAGGGCUUUUGCAAGAGAAAGUGCACCCCCAGCUUCCAGAUGCCCCCACGAUGAGCAAAAAUAAAAGAAAGAAGCUGAAAAAGAAGCUGCAGCUUAGGCGGAAGAAAGCAGCCGGCUCCAUCACCAAGCCCUGUGGGAUCAGUUUCCUGUAUCAGCCCGAGAGCGACAGUGAGGCGGAAGCGGACGGUAUCACAGGGGGAGAGACCAAGGAGGACCAGGAGGGCUCCAUCACAGACGCCACCCAGGAAGACAUUGAGCUUGCCAACAGCAAGGCCGACAGCAUCCUGAGUUUUCUCAGGUCAACACAAGAAAUUUAUUUUUAUGAUGAAACUUCCAAAGACUUCGAUCCCGCAGUGUGUGUAGAAACAACUGAAGAGCUGCUUCACCUCCUCGAGUCUCGGAGCAUGCCCCCCUCAGACGUGCUCAUCCUGGACCACCUGAAAACUCUGCUGCUCCUGCAGGACACCAAGAGGCUGCAGAGCGCUCUAAAGAUGUUCCCAGAGCAUUGUGCAAUGCCCCCUGACCAUGCCAGAGUGAUCUCCGCCUUCUUUAACUAUUGGAUCACACAUAUUCUUCCUGAGAAGAAAACAGUGAAUGAAGCAGCGUCUCUUUAAGAAGAUCUGUCUGCUCUUUAACAAGAAGGUGUUAAAUACAAAUAUGUCACGGACUGAACUUCAUUCCUGUACAGAAAGAUUUAUUUUCUGUGUGAGUCAAACACUGGAGACAUUGAAGACAUUUCUACCUUAUUAUUUAUUUCUGUGCUGUAUAUAGUAGAGCACACAGUUCUGGAUCCAGGGCUAGCCCCUGCCCCAAUCUCAACGGGAAGGACCAGCCUCUCGGUAUUCCAGAACAAGACUCGACCACUGCCACGUGAUACAGCAGACAAAUACGGAAAACCUAAGGGAAGCCCCGCUCUGUAAGCACGGCAGGACAAAAGCCCAGACCUCACAGUGGGGAUGACCCAGGAUCUGAGACAGAUACAGAUGGUGACAUCCUGAGCCUGGUGUCACCAUACCGUCCUCUCUGGUGUUACCUCCCUGUCUACAGUCCACUAGACGGGGCAUUUGCAUGACGUUCCAGCAGUAGAUUGUGCUGCCCACAACAUUCUGCAAGCCUUUGUGGACCCAGUGGGGCUUUUUAGUGCAGCCAGUCUCGAGAUGUCUCAGACCCAAAUUCACGCAAAGCCCAAGCAGCGCCCCCAGUGACUUCUCUCGCCCUUUUCACCCACUUGGUGGGAAGACCCACGAAGUUACUAUGGCUGGCAAAGCUAAGGUCCUCACGGUGCUGUCGGGGUCCUCUGGCUCAACCUGAACGUGCUCGGGAGACAGACUUCCCUCCAUAAGUCCAGAGUUGCAGGCGGUUCCCGUACUAAACACUAAAAGCAUCUAUGGGACCAAUUCUUGCAUGUUCUUUAAGGCAACCACCAAGUCGAACAAAUCCCAGGAACUAGAAACUCAACUCUGGCGCAUGGAGGAUUUACAAAGAGAGAAGGAAGCAGUGGCAGGCGGAGCACAUUGGCUCCUGUCUAUGAGUAAAAGCUGAGGAAAAACACUCUUCUCGGCAGACUAUACACCGUAUUGAAGCAAUAUGUUACUUUCUGAGACACGAAAAUACAGAGCAUUUUUUAAAUGGCAUUUCUGUCAUUGGGGAAAAAAUGUGUUCUUAGCCCAAGGUAAAAGGUACACUUUGUUACAGGAAAUAUAUCAGCAGGGCCCUUCUUUCUCACAGGUCGAAGGAACAGGCCAAGGAGUCCUGAAACCUUUCGAAAUGGGAUUAACAUCUGACACCAUUUGAAGCAGGUCCACAUAUAUUUGCUGUUGUGAAACCAAGAUCCUGCUGAAAGCUGCCGAGCCCCACUUCUGCCGUCAUUAUACACCUGUAUCGAGAUACAUCUUUCUUACCACAAAAUCCGCUCGGUGUCAAGUUCAAGGUCGUUUAGCACAUUUCCAGAGCCGCGCAACUACUGCCGCGAUGAAUAAUGGACUUUUUCUAUUGUCCAGAAGAAAUUCCAUGCAGUGUAGGCGUCAGCAGCUUCCCAAACCCAUCCCCUCAGCUCUCUGCACCUUGUUUUUCUCUUUAGAGUUGUCUUCUCUGGACACCUCAUGUGACUAGGGUCAGGUAUGCAAGUCACUUGUCACGUCUGGUUCCUGUCAUUUGGGAGAAGGUUUCAGGUUUCUUCAAGUUGUAAGAAAAUGUGUGCUCUCUUAUGACUACAGAAUAUUUUGCUGUAUGAACAUAGUGUGUUUUAGUUGCCCUUCUUUGGGGAAUAAGCAUCCAGGUUUCUUUUUUUAUAUUUAGUAAGCACGCAGCUGUGAACAUUUAUGGCUAUACCUCUGUGUGGUUUUCUGUUCUACUUCCAGAACCUCUACCAAGGAGUGUUGGAUCACACGGCAACUCCAUGCUUACUUCCUGGAUGUAACUAGAUUGCUUCCAGAACUCUCUCAGCAGUAAUAUUUAUCAUUUUUACCAGUUCUUUAUCCCAGAAGUUCAGUUUCUCCACAUCCCUGCCAACACUUAAUAUUCUCUCUUUUGCCUUACAGCCACUUGGUCCUUGAAGUGGACUCUUACUGUGAUUUUGACUGUAUGUCUUUACUGGUGAGGGAAGUAGAGCCCUGAAUAUAUGGCUGACCAUUUACAGGACUUUAUUGCCAUGCACAGUUUAUCCCAUCCUGUGGGCUAAUUUCUUAGUUUGUUAAUGGUACUAUAUGCAACAAAAGUCUAAAUAUUAAUGGGUUUGGUGUAUCUUUCUUGUUGUAAUUGUUAUUUCAUAUAAACUUAUGUUUUUGAAA